rnacentral:rRNA from 1 species
UACGGGGGGGGUAAGCGUUGUUCGGAAUUACUGGGCGUAAAGGGCUCGUAGGCGGCCAACUAAGUCAUACGUGAAAUCCCUCAGCUUAACUGGGGAACUGCAUGUGAUACUGGAUGGCUUGGAUUUGGGAGAGGGAUGCGGAAUUCCAGGUGUAGCGGUGAAAUGCGUAGAUAUCUGGAGGAACACCGGUGGCGAGGGCGGCAUCCUGGACCAAUAUUGACGCUGAGGAGCGAAAGCCAGGGGAGCAAACGGG